rnacentral:tRNA from 1 species
CGCGCCUUGGAAGAGCGGACGGGCCAGUGCUGUCAACGGCUGCACCAGCCGAGGCAGAUUGCGCAUCAGCUCGGUGUUCGACCCGCCGGGAUGCGCC